rnacentral:sRNA from 1 species
GAAGCAUCUUGCGAGGCUCCGCUUCUUCUACAAGUAUGGAGAAGGGAAAAGGCAAGGAGUGGACCUCCACAGAGAAGUCGAGGGAAGAGGAUCAGCAGGCUUCUAAUCAACCAAAUUCAAUUGCUUUGCCAGGAACAUCAGCAAAGAGAACCAAAGAAAAAAUGUCUGUCAAAGGCAAUAAAGUGCUCUGCCCUAAGAAAAAGGCAGAGCACACUGACAACCCCAGACCUCAGAAGAAGAUACCAAUCCCUCCAUUACCUUCUAAACUGCCACCUGUUAAUCUGAUUCACCGGGACAUUCUGCGGGCCUGGUGCCAACAAUUGAAGCUGAGCUCCAAAGGCCAGAAAUUGGAUGCAUAUAAGCGCCUGUGUGCCUUUGCCUACCCAAAUCAAAAGGUGGUGUGUGGUCCAUGGGAAAAGUCUCCCUGCAGACACAGAUGGUUGGGUUCACUUGCAGUUUCAUGCUGGUCAAGCCUGGGUUCCAGAAAAGCAAGAAGGGAGAGUGAGUGCACUCUUCUUGCUUCCUGCCUCCAAUUUUCCACCCCCGCACCUUGAAGACAAUAUGUUGUGCCCCAAAUGUGUUCACAGGAACAAGGUCUUAAUAAAAAGCCUCCAAUGGGAAUAGAAUAUCAGGAAAAAGGCCACAUCUAUGGUAAUUAAUGGCAGAAAAGCUGGAGAGUUGGAUUCUGCGGUGCUGCUGACAGGUGAACUCUGGUCCUCUGCACCUGUUUAUGGGCCAUGCAGACUGGUGGGGUGGCAGAUGUUAGCCUAAGACCCCUAGCAGUGCCUGUUGCUUUGUGAGUGGAGAUAGAGACUCUUACAUUUAAAAAUGGAAAAACAUUUCACAAAUUACCAUAAAUUGUAGUUAAUAUGUAGAAAAACUCAUUCAUACUACUUUUCUAAAAUAGACGUGACUUCAGCAGCAGCUUUGUUGUUGUAUUUUGAGACAGUGUCCCACUGUUGCCCAGGCUGGAGUGCAGUGGUGCAAUCUCAGUUCAGUGCAAUCUCUGCCUCCUGGGUUCAAAUGAUUCUCCUGCCUCAGCCUCCUGAGUAGCUAGGUACAGGCACCUGCCACCACACCCAGCU